rnacentral:rRNA from 1 species
CCUACGGGAGGCUGCAGUGAGGAAUAUUGGUCAAUGGACGCAAGUCUGAACCAGCCAUGCCGCGUGCAGGAUGACGGCUCUAUGAGUUGUAAACUGCUUUUGUACGAGGGUAAACCCCGAUACGUGUCUCGUGUUGAAAGUAUCGUACGAAUAAGGAUCGGCUAACUCCGUGCCAGCAGCCGCGGUAAUACGGAGGAUCCGAGCGUUAUCCGGAUUUAUUGGGUUUAAAGGGUGCGUAGGCGGUUUGAUAAGUUAGAGGUGAAAUGUCGGGGCUCAACCCCGAAACUGCCUCUAAUACUGUUGGACUAGAGAAUAGUUGCGGUAGGCGGAAUGUAUGGUGUAGCGGUGAAAUGCUUAGAGAUCAGACAGAACACCGAUUGCGAAGGCAGCUUACCAAACUAUAUCUGACGUUGAGGCACGAAAGCGUGGGUAGCAAACAGGAUUAGAUACCCCAGUAGUC